rnacentral:rRNA from 1 species
GCCUAAUACAUGCAAGUCGUACGCUUCUUUUUCACCGGAGCUUGCUCCACCGGAAAAAGAGAGUGGCGAACGGGUGAGUAACACGUGGGUAACCUGCCCAUCAGAAGGGGAUAACACUUGGAAACAGGUGCUAAUACCGUAUAACAAUCGAAACCGCAUGGUUUUGAUUUGAAAGGCGCUUUCGGGUGUCGCUGAUGGAUGGACCCGCGGUGCAUUAGCUAGUUGGUGAGGUAACGGCUCACCAAGGCCACGAUGCAUAGCCGACCUGAGAGGGUGAUCGGCCACAUUGGGACUGAGACACGGCCCAAACUCCUACGGGAGGCAGCAGUAGGGAAUCUUCGGCAAUGGGGGGAGGGCGGGCCGACAACGCCGUGUGAGUGAAGAAGGUUUCGGAUCGUAAAACUCUGUUGUUGGGAAAAACAAGGAUGAGACCCCCCGUCCCCCUUGAGGUUUUAACCAGAAAGCCCGGCUAACUACGUGCCAGCAGCCUGGGUAUU